GAUGAAGAACGUAGCGAAAUGCGAUACGUAAUGUGAAUUGCAAAUUCAGUGAAUCAUCGAGUCUUUGAACGCACAUUGCGCCCCCUGGUAUUCCGGGGGGCAUGCCUGUCCGAGCGUCAUUGCUGCCCUCAAGCACGGCUUGUGUGUUGGGCCCCGUCCUCCGAUCCCGGGGGACGGGCCCGAAAGGCAGCGGCGGCACCGCGUCCGGUCCUCGAGCGUAUGGGGCUUUGUCACCCGCUCUGUAGGCCCGGCCGGCGCUUGCCGAUCAACCCAAAUUUUUAUCCAGGUUGAACUCGGAUCAGGUAGGGAUACCCGCUGAACUUAAGCAUAUCAAUAAGCGGAGGA
rnacentral:misc_RNA from 1 species